GGCGACCGGCGCACGGGUGAGUAACGCGUAUCCAACCUGCCUUACACCCUUGGACAGCCUUCUGAAAGGGAGAUUAAUACAAGAUGUUAUCAUGAGUAAGCAUUUUCGCAUGAUCAAAGGUUUACCGGUGUAAGAUGGGGAUGCGUUCCAUUAGAUAGUAGGCGGGGUAACGGCCCACCUAGUCUUCGAUGGAUAGGGGUUCUGAGAGGAAGGUCCCCCACAUUGGAACUGAGACACGGUCCAAACUCCUACGGGAGGCAGCAGUGAGGAAUAUUGGUCAAUGGACGAGAGUCUGAACCAGCCAAGUAGCGUGAAGGAUGAAGGUUCUAUGGAUUGUAAACUUCUUUUAUACGGGAAUAAACGGAUCCACGUGUGGAUUUUUGCAUGUACCGUAUGAAUAAGGAUCGGCUAACUCCGUGCCAGCAGCCGCGGUAAUACGGAGGAUCCGAGCGUUAUCCGGAUUUAUUGGGUUUAAAGGGAGCGUAGAUGGGUUGUUAAGUCAGUUGUGAAAGUUUGCGGCUCAACCGUAAAAUUGCAAUUGAUACUGGCAGUCUUGAGUACAGUUGAGGUAGGCGGAAUUCGUGGUGUAGCGGUGAAAUGCUUAGAUAUCACGAAGAACUCCGAUUGCGAAGGCAGCU
rnacentral:rRNA from 1 species